rfam:Nicotiana attenuata strain TT chromosome 1, whole genome shotgun sequence.
GCACCAAUGGUCUAGUGGUAGAAUAGUAUCUUGUCACUGUACAGACCUCGGUUCGACUCCCAGAUGGUGCA